UUCACCUUUGAUAUAACAAAAACUUUAUUAGUAAACAAAAACAUCUCAUACUUUGCACCCCCUACCCUGCUCCCAUCCCCAAUCCUAGCCUCCAUUGUAUAUUUGUACAACAUAGUGCUGAGAUCAGACAGUAUUCCAUAAAACAUGCAUAUACAAGAUUAUGAUACAAUGGCCUGCCCCCAAAAGGGACAGAGGAGGGGCAGGCAGUAGAAGGAAACAAUACAAUCCGGAGGGCUCCCUGUGUGCGAUACUCUGUGGUUUUCCCAGUAGACACGGAUUUUCCUUUGAAUGAUGCCUAUAUGAUUAAAUAAACACCCGGUGGCACCCACAAACUGAGUAUGUUGUAAGGAAUAUAUCGUCACAACUGAAAAAUAUGUAUCUGCAGUCACUGGUCAGAUCAUGCAUUAUAGUGGGGUUUUAAUAAAAUCUCAAGGUUGAAAAACACAAUAUGUACUAUACAUUGCAGUAGUUUUUCCCCAUUAACAAUAAUGAGGAAAGUUACAGCAUAAAGUAAAAAACCAUGACUCCAAAAAACAGAUGGUCCUGCAAGAUUUGAUAGAACUUGAUAACACAAAAAAUGUACAAACUGCCAUCAAACCACCAUUAACACACCUCUACACCGCCAUACACUGACGUUUAAUCCACCAAGCUUCCAUCCAUAGAGAUGAGGACCAGGUCUUCUUCAUCACAUAUUGGCCAUCAGAACCCACGCAAACAUGGCCACACAAAGCUUAAUAACCUGAAACUACACCAGGAAUGCAAUACAAAUAAUCUCUGACUGGACUGAUUUACUUGAUACAUCUUGUCAUUUACUAGGAGGGAUUUUAUUGUGUGGACACAUUUUCAGGGCAAUGAACAAAGUGCUAGUAACAGUAAGGGGCGCUCUUUCACACGAGCGGAUGCUGUGCGUGUCAUCCGCAGCGUGAAUGACAGCCA